AUGAACGCUAGCGACAGGCCUAACACAUGCAAGUCAGGGGCAGCACAAGGAGCAAUCUGAGGUGGCGACCGGCGCACGGGUGAGUAACACGUAUGCAACCUGCCUGUAAGCGGGGAAUAACCCGUUGAAAGACGGACUAAUACCGCAUAAUACUAAAUUACUGCAUGGUAAUUUAUUUAAACAUUUAUGGCUUACAGAUGGGCAUGCGCAUGAUUAGCUAGUUGGAGAGGUAACGGCUCCCCAAGGCAACGAUCAUUAGGGGUUCUGAGAGGAAGGUCCCCCACACUGGUACUGAGACACGGACCAGACUCCUACGGGAGGCAGCAGUGAGGAAUAUUGGUCAAUGGACGAGAGUCUGAACCAGCCAAGUCGCGUGCAGGAAGAAUGUUCCCUAUGGAUUGUAAACUGCUUUUGCAGGGGAAUAAAGUGCAUCACGUGUGAUGUUUUGUAUGUACUCUGCGAAUAAGGAUCGGCUAACUCCGUGCCAGCCGCUGC
rnacentral:rRNA from 1 species